UACGUAGGGUCCGAGCGUUGUUCGGAUUCAUUGGGCGUAAAGGGUGCGUAGGCGGCGCGGUAAGUCGGGUGUGAAAUCUCGGAGCUUAACUCCGAAACUGCAUUCGAUACUGCCGUGCUUGAGGACUGGAGAGGAGACUGGAAUUUACGGUGUAGCAGUGAAAUGCGUAGAUAUCGUAAGGAAGACCAGUGGCGAAGGCGGGUCUCUGGACAGUUCCUGACGCUGAGGCACGAAGGCCAGGGGAGCAAACGGG
rnacentral:rRNA from 1 species